rnacentral:sRNA from 1 species
CCUGAAAGACUGAAUGUUAAAUUUCUGGUGUGGUGAAUCCCCCUAUGCGGAGGGGCAUUGCCAGUCUGAUAUGUUUUUUUGCGCAUUGCGAGUCGUCUGUGGACUGGCGGCGACUUACCGGGAGGCACCCGGCACCACACCUAAUAAAAAUGAUGAUAGCUGUAAGGCCCACUUCGGUGGGCUUUUUCUUUGGGC